GGUGGUCACUGCCCAGAGCUAGUGAUCCAAACUGGGGUCACAUCCCAGGCCCUUAACUAGCCAGCCUGCAGCCUCUCUCACACACACACACCCCCACCCAGAGCUGGGGGGCACAUGGCUGCUUUGCCUGUCCAAGCCCCCAGCUGUGUCCACCCUGGGCUCUGCCCCUAGUUCUCAGAAAAGACUCCAACCUCCUCACAUGGCCAUUGGAAAAUUAAAGAAAAAAAAAAAAGAUUCUUUGAUUCAGUCUCAGAAGCUUGUCAGCUUAAGAAGCGCUGCUUUUUUAAGUGCCUGUGAGUCACUCACCUUUUCAACCAGCCUCCCCGCUCCAGCCUGCGAGUGAGCGGGCAGGUGAGGCGAGAACAGAGCAGCAGCCUCAUCCCUGAGUCAGCGAUGACUCCCGGCUUUCUCCUCCACAGCUUAAUCACCUCCGAUUGCGGCUCCUGACUGGGCGUGAGGCACUCCCGGCAUCAUCUCCUUUGUCUGACCCUCGCCUCCCUGCCAUCCGGCCGCCAGUUUGUCCGUGGUGAUGGAGCGUGCUGUACUUGCCAGCGCCCCCAAAAGGAAGCCCGGCAGACAAGUGACUCAGGAAUCGGGACCCACCCCCCUCCCCCUCACCAUCUGCUCUCGGCACCCGCGCCUCUGGGGCAAGAAGAGGGGCCGGGAGACUGCUCCCACAGAAGCCUGCAGAUGACGGAGCCCCCAACUCCCACUUGCGGAUCGGAUGACAGAAAUGAAAGAAACUUUAAGGGAAGUUAGGACAUAGGCCUAGCAGUCACACUGAAAACUGAAGAAUCACAUGCUUGUGGAGGAAAAGUUACACAAGGAGGCAGAGCAGAUCUAGGCUUCUAGCACCGAGAAUGAUCCAGGUGGAUUUUCAAGGAGCCGCUGAAUAUGUAUGAGAGAGAGAAUCUGAACACGAGAAACAGCAGAGGCGCAAGAGGAAGCUGGAUGGAUGAAGGCCAAAGGGAAGAAGGCCUGGGACCGUGGCACGGACGGACCUGGCCAGACAGAGAUGGGGAGCGGGGCAGCAGAAAGGAGGCUCAGGAGGAAGGAAGAACAUUAGAGGCCAAGGGAGCGGGCCAGGAGCCGGCAGAGCGGGCAGAUGGAGCGGCACGCGGUGAGGCCUGGCCGCCAAGCCCUGCGGCUUCUGAGGGAAGCGGUCGCUUCCAGGGAGCAUGUGGAAGAUCCUUGUUGACUCGGGCCCAGCGCGGCCUCCACCCGGAGGAGCAGCCCCAGUCCCCGCCCUAAUCCUCCUUUCCGUCUUCCUCCAG